rnacentral:lncRNA from 1 species
GGCCAGGCGUGCGCAGCCCGGCGGCGUCGGGCUGGGCAGGUCAGCGGGGCGGAGGGCAGCAGGCCCGGCGCGGAGCGUGCAGAGCUGCCCGGCCUGAUUAUGUGCAGAGCGUGUUCCUUCACUCCCUCGGUCUCGUACGCUGCUGAGAGAGGUGUAAACGGAGCGAGGGGCUCGGUAGGGGCCGGGAGGCGUUCAUUCAGAGAGGGAAUUUGAAACGGUGCUCCACAGCCCUCAUUCCGUGGAAGAGAGGGUUGGUGUCGCGCUCUGUUUGACAGGCCGCCUCCAAACUCUCGCCCAGCUUUUUAUUUUUAAUCUCCCCUAAGUCAGGAUGCCGCAGUUUGACAGCCGUGAGUCAGUGUGAAUCCAAGCUCUCCUCCUGUGUGGGCUGUUGGAAAGGAGGUCCCAGCCGCAGAUGCUUCGAGGCUGAGGCAGCAGCAGCGGCACUUUAGCUUCAAGACCGUGAGGGUGACACGGGGAUGUCUGCAACAGGCUGAGCAAUGCGGCUGCGGCAGGUUGUCCCUGUGCCUCGGUGAAAACAGGACGGAGAGGAAAAUAUGAAAGUGAGAAUUGCCUCUUGCCACCUGGAAAGAAAAAUGUAGCCUCUGCUACAAAGGCCAUACUAAGGUGUCAAAUAUAUGAUGACGGGCCACGCGUGGAAGGCAAAGAUAGAUGCAGGGCCCAUCUAAAGAGGAAGCUGAAGAGUGUUGCAUGGUACAAGUGUGUUGGUCAGUGCAAAGCUCCUCUGCUUCAAGAAAUGUUGCUUGUUCUCAAGGAUGAGACAGACACUUCGAAAGCUGGAUUCCUGUAGUAAUGCCUGAAGAGUCAAGAUAAAACCAAGGAGACACAUACACUAUUGGAUUCUUGUUGACUGCACAGGAACAUUACUUGGCUUUGUGAUUAAAUCAUUCUGGGGAUGGGGAUGCUGUCGCUGAAAAAGCACCUGUUAUAAACUACAUUUGACAGGUAAUAAAAUUGAUAUUAUCAGUUGAAGUCA